AGUCUGAUGCAGCCAUGCCGCGUGAGUGAUGACGGCCUUCGGGUUGUAAAGCUCUUUUAAUAGGGAAGAUAAUGCGGCUACCUAUAGA
rnacentral:rRNA from 1 species